GACGGAGGGUGCUAGCGUUGUUCGGAAUUACUGGGCGUAAAGGGCGCGUAGGCGGCCUUCUCAGUCGGGUGUGAAAGCCCGGGGCUCAACCCCGGAACGGCACCCGAGACGGGGAGGCUGGAGACCGGGAGAGGAGGGUGGAAUAGCCAGUGUAGAGGUGAAAUUCGUAGAUAUUGGCUGGAACACCGGUGGCGAAAGCGGCUCUCUGGCCCGGUUCUGACGCUGAGGCGCGAAAGCGUGGGGAGCAAAC
rnacentral:rRNA from 1 species